rnacentral:rRNA from 1 species
GGGGGGUGUGGUGGCGCGUGGGGGGAGAGGCUCUUGGGUUGUAAACCCCUUUUCUCUGGGAAGAAAGUUGUGAAAGCAACCUGACGGUACCAGAGGAAUCAGCAUCGGCUAACUCCGUGCCAGCAGCCGCGGUAAGACGGAGGAUGCAAGCGUUAUCCGGAAUGAUUGGGCGUAAAGCGUCCGCAGGUGGCAGUUCAAGUCUGCUGUCAAAGACCGGGGCUUAACUUCGGAAAGGCAGUGGAAACUGAACAGCUAGAGUAUGGUAGGGGCAGAGGGAAUUCCUGGUGUAGCGGUGAAAUGCGUAGAGAUCAGGAAGAACAUCGGUGGCGAAGGCGCUCUGCUGGACCAUAACUGACACUCAGGGACGAAAGCUAGGGGAGCGAAUGGGAUUAGAUACCCCAGUAGUCA